GCAGAUCUGAAUCUGAAGACAGGCUGGGGCUGGGACUUUGUCAUCACCCAGCUGGGCUUUUGCAGGGCACCAGGGGGCAGAGUACUGAGGUUUGUACCAACCCAGCACUGCCUUCCCAGGCUGAACUGCCACAGCAGUGCCUCAGAAUUUCACAGCUCAGUGAAGCAACAGCGAGAGGUUUUCUUUCCAGGUCAUGACUACAGCAGAAACCCUCAAGAGGCAUGGCUCUCAUCCUCCAAGGUUACACUCUCCUGGAUCGUCACUUGGAUUGCUCAGCUCAGGAUGGCGUGGCUCCCAGAAUACCCUUUAUAGAGAUGCCAAUGGAAACUCAAAUUAAGAGAUGGAGCUGGGACUUCGCAUGCACAGCUGUCCCUGGGCUGUGCUGUGUGCAGGACACUGUGAUCCCUGAAAUACCUAGGACCUGCUCAUUAAGCUGCUAAGAAGCAGGAAAUACACCUGUGAGACCCAAGGUGCACAAUGAACCCAACAAUUAGCCACCACCACGGGCAGGCGGCAAAUGUUCCAGCAACAAAACACCCAAGGACGGGCGGCUGCUGGUUUCUGACUUUCCUCAUGGUGCUGGGGCCCCUGAUCUGCUUUUGGACUCCUCCCAUUUCUGCACCCUGGUCAGAGCUGCUGAAAAUGGGGGAACUUGGAGGAGAGUUUCUCCUGAUCAAAACAGCUGGUUCAGGUUAUGUGUGGUGUGGGAAAACUAAUACAGAGAAAGAGGCAGGAUAUAACUAGUUUGUCAUCGAUGAUGCAUUCAAUUGCGAAAUUAUUACAAGGAAAAUUGGAUCUAUUUUUCCCCCCAGGUAUGGCUUUGGUAGAACUAUCCCAAAGGUGAAUGAGAAAGUGGAGAUUGAGGUGAAGGCAGGGGGAGAGACAUGGGAAAUUGUCAGCAUUUCAUACUUUGGGGCUGAACUCUUCACCCAUUCCACAAAUAUUUAUUCAGCAUGUUCUCUGAAUCAAUGAGCAAAAUAAUAAGACUGAUGAUAAAACCUGUUUAAAUUCUGGGGCAAGACAGUCUGGAAUAGGGGUUAUGAAUGAACUUGGGGCCACAUUACAUGGGUUGGAAAUCACAGCUUAGAAACUUACCGGUUACAUGUUAUCCAACUUAUCUGUGCCUCACUUGUCUCACCUGUUAAAUGGGAAUGAUACCAUGACGUCUUUGAUGGGAUUGUGAAAUGUUAAUGAUCAUACUUCUUACCUACAGUGUCACUGUGAACAUUAAAUUGAU
ensembl:lncRNA